UACGUAGGGGGCUAGCGUUGUCCGGAUUUAUUGGGCGUAAAGAGCGUGUAGGCGGCCAGGUAGGUCUGCUGUGAAAACUCGAGGCUCAACCUCGAGACGUCGGCGGAAACCAUCUGGCUAGAGUCCGGAAGAGGAGAGUGGAAUUCCUGGUGUAGCGGUGAAAUGCGCAGAUAUCAGGAAGAACACCCGUGGCGAAGGCGGCUCGCUGGGACGUAACUGACGCUGAGACGCGAAAGCGUGGGGAGCAAACAGG
rnacentral:rRNA from 1 species